rnacentral:rRNA from 1 species
UACGGAGGGUGCGAGCGUUGUCCGGAAUCACUGGGCGUAAAGGGCGCGUAGGUGGCCUGUGGAAGUCUGCGGUGAAAGCCCGGCGCUCAACGCCGGGUCUGCCGUGGAUACUCUCGGGCUUGAGCUUACUAGAGGCAGAUGGAAUUCCUGGUGUAGCGGUGAAAUGCGCAGAUAUCAGGAGGAACACCGAUGGCGAAGGCAGGUCUCUGGGCAUUAACUGACGCUGAGGAGCGAAAGCAUGGGGAGCGAACAGG